UAGAAGGCUGUGAUGUUGAAUCCUACCUAUUUCAUGAAGGAUUCUUUUUUAUUUCCAUAUCGUGAUUAGAAAAUCAUCAAUCGAUUCUUCUGAGCCUUCU